GUCAAAUCCACGCAAAAGAACCUUUCCACGCCAGGCAGAAUGGGCGCGGCUGUGGAAAUGUGGGAGAGCACAAAAUGAGAGUAACUCCGACUCAGAAAUCUGGACUAGUGAGGAGGCUGGAGCAGAGUCCAAUAGUGACCUCAGAGAAUGAUGAUGGGGACUUGGGUUUUGAUCUCCUUACCUCCGCCACGGUGGGGAUGACAGGAGGUGACUUUGGGGCUGAUCCUCCCGCAACUGCGGGGACUGCCCUCAUGGACCCGCUGGGCGAGCCAUUGUUCAACCUGGAUGACCUUCACCACCCGAGGUCAGCCGAGUGGCUCCCGGCGGACCAUGUGGACCGCUACCUGGAAAAUUGGGUGCGGCGCACGUAAUAAGCUCAGAGCUGAAUGCCCUCGACCGGUGGUGCCUAACAAGGUGUGCGAAACCACGGAAGUGGACCCCAAAAUAACACAAUUCUUAUCAAAGAUGGGUUGGAACCCACAUAAAGGCCUGGACUCGGCACUCAGGUCAUUCCAGGAAAAACAUCUAGACAUUUUUGGACCCCUGGCCAAGCUUUUUGAUCUAGCUGACGAUGCCAGGGCUGAUAACAGGCUAGUCGACCAGGACUAACUCCGUGGUUGGGUACAAUGGGCCCUCUGUAUUGCAGGCAGCAUCAAUGCUUCUCGAUCUAUGGAGCGACAUCAAGCCGUCCUGUUUAAGGUAAAGCCGAAACUGGCUAAUCUCAGCCCUCACUGAGGCUGGCAAGG